rnacentral:lncRNA from 10 species
CUUCCGGUAGCGCGCGAGGGCCUGCACGUGGGUCGUGGUUCGACCCGGCGCGCUCUGGUCCGCGGGUGGAAGGGCCUCGCAGCCGUCUCCUGGAAGCUCUGCCGGGGACACGCGUGGGCGCGCGCGGCCUCCUUAGCGGUCCAGAGCCUGCGCUGCCAGUAGUACGCGCGCCCCAUGGCUGUGUGGGGCCCCACGCGCCCUCCUCGCCGCGCGGCUUCUUGCUUCCGCCCCGCGCUUCUCCAGCCUGCCUUCGGUGCCCGCUUCCUGCCCGCGCCCUUGGAACCGCUGGUGUCUGUGCGUUCACAGGCAGGGUCGUGCUACGUGGCCCGGGCCCCCAAAGCGCCGCGACUGCAGGCGCGCCCACCGCGCCGGGCUGAAUUUCCGAGAUGUUCUUGUCCUGCUUCCUCACUGCUGCUUCCUUCUUUCUCUGGUUCUGGGUCUUUAGCUUGAUUCCACAUCCCCCACCUCUAGGCCCACAGCCUGCUGAAAAGUCCUAUAGGCGACUGUCAGAAACGAGGUUUACACCCUCAGUCUACACAAGAAAGCAAAACGAUAUUGAAUAAACGAAUACACGGCUUUGGUUGGGUUUGUUUCAUUUCCUGUCCCGAGGACAGCUCCCUUCCACCUCCAUCACCCGCUGCAGCUGGAAGCCGGCAAGCUGAUGCACCGCUCACCUCACGUAUUAAUGGUUUACUCACUUUGUGUUUUUUUAAACAAUGUUUUUCUGAUAUUCCAUUUUCAUGACAUAUAAAUUUUGUCUAUGUGUUUGAAACACUGUUCAACAUGAACUUAUAAAUGCUUUUCUUUUCUGUUUUUUGGAGAUGGGGUCUCUGUUACCCAGGCUGGAGUGUAAUGUUUUGAUCACGGCUCACUACAUCUUCCACCUCUCAAGGUUCAGGUGAUCUUCCCCCAUCUGCAUGUAUUACUUUUUCAUUAUAAAAAAUGGUCUUUAUGAAUAUGAAUAUUCUUAAUUUGUUGCUGCCACUCUGAUUGCCAGUUUGCUUCUCAGCUGCUUUUCAUGUAACCUGAAUACAUGCCACUCCACAGACACUAACUACUUUCAAAAGACGCCAAUGGCCUCCUAAUUGACAAUGGCCUCACCCAUUAUUUCUCUACCUCACUCUCAGCCGCUGACACUGUUCACACCAUCUCUCACCCACAUUCAACAACUGAUAUUGAUAACACCAUCUCAUUCUCACAGCACUGGCACUGUAACACCAUCUCCUCACCCUCACUCAGUACCUGACAGUGAUAACGCCGUCUCCUCACCCUCACUCAACUACUGACAGUGACAACAGCAUCUUCUCACCCUCACUCAACUACUG